AGAGUUUGAUCCUGGCUCAGAUUGAACGCUGGCGGCAUGCCUUACACAUGCAAGUCGAACGGCAGCACGGGAGCAAUCCUGGUGGCGAGUGGCGAACGGGUGAGUAAUAUAUCGGAACGUGCCCAGUCGUGGGGGAUAACGCAGCGAAGGCUGUGCUAAUACCGCAUACGAUCUCUGGAUGAAAGCGGGGGACUCGCAAGGGCCUCGCGCGAUUGGAGCGGCCGAUAUCAGAUUAGCUAGUUGGUGGGGUAAAAGCCCACCAAGGCGACGAUCUGUAGCUGGUCUGAGAGGACGACCAGCCACACUGGAACUGAGACACGGUCCAGACUCCUACGGGAGGCAGCAGUGGGGAAUUUUGGACAAUGGGCGCAAGCCUGAUCCAGCAAUGCCGCGUGCAGGAUGAAGGCCUUCGGGUUG
rnacentral:rRNA from 1 species